AUUGAACGCUGGCGGCAGGCUUAACACAUGCAAGUCGAGCGGGACUUCGGUCCUAGCGGCGAACGGGUGAGGAAUGCUUGGGAAUCUGCCCGGUAGCGGGGGAUAACGUUUCGAAAGGAACGCUAAUACCGCAUACGCCCUACGGGGGAAAGGGGGGGAUCUUCGGACCUCUCACUAUUGGAUGAGCCCAAGUCGGAUUAGCUAGUUGGUGGGGUAAAGGCCUACCAAGGCGACGAUCCGUAGCUGGUCUGAGAGGAUGAUCAGCCACACUGGAACUGAGACACGGUCCAGACUCCUACGGGAGGCAGCAGUGGGGAAUAUUGGACAAUGGGCGAAAGCCUGAUCCAGCCAUGCCGCGUGUGUGAAGAAGGCCUUCGGGUUGUAAAGCACUUUAAGCGAGGAGGAAUGGCCGAGGGUUAAUAACCUUCAGCAGCGACGUUACUCGCAGAAUAAGCACCGGCUAACUCUGUGCCAGCAGCCGCCGUAAGAC
rnacentral:rRNA from 1 species